AGGACGAACGCUGGCGGCGUGCUUAACACAUGCAAGUCGAGCGGUAAGGCCUUUCGGGGUACACGAGCGGCGAACGGGUGAGUAACACGUGGGUGAUCUGCCCUGCACUCUGGGAUAAGCCUGGGAAACUGGGUCUAAUACCGGAUAUGACCUGCUCUCGCAGUGGGGGUGGGUGGAAAGAUUUAUCGGUGCAGGAUGGGCCCGCGGCCUAUCAGCUUGGUUGGUGGGUAAUGGCCUACCAAGGCGACGACGGGUAGCCGACCUGAGAGGGUGACCGGCCACACUGGGACUGAGACACGGCCCAGACCUCCGUACGGGAGGCAGCAGUGGGAAUAGUUGCACAAGUGGGCGAAAGCCUGAUGCAGCGACGCCGCGU
rnacentral:rRNA from 1 species